ensembl:lncRNA
AGAACUCGGAACCCUGGAGUCACUGGGCACCACAGUCCAGCGACGGCUGCCUAACAGUCACUUGGCUGGAGAGAGUCAGCUGCGAUCAUGCUGUGCCGCUUUCCCAGGCCUCGAGGCCGCAGCAACAGGACCCUGUGCAGGGAAAGGACUUGGGCACUGGGGCCCAACGGGAGGAGAGCCGGCAGAGGACUGCAUGGUAAGGAUGGUGCUGGCAGGCAUGCAGCACCCCCUGAGGGAGCCCCCAGAAUGGGAUGUCCUGGACAGCUGCCCCAUCCAUGCAGACUCCCUCCUGGACCCCUCUGGGGCCUGCAUUCCCACCCUGCAGGAGGGGAUGGUGCCAAGGACCAGCUCCACCCCCAGCUGAAGUCCCAUGUGCGGAGCCCGAGCCAGCUCCACCUGCAGCUUCCUGCCCAGGGCUGGGACCACAGCCAGAGUCCAUGGCAGCCGCUUCACCUGCUGCAGUGCUGGGGCACCCGGUGGUUGCACGGCUGUCGGUGUCACCUCCUGAGCUCCGCCUGGGGCCAGCUCCUGGCCCCCUCCCACUGUUCCCCUCACUUAUGCUGGCUCUUGUUUUGGUAUUUACAAUUGCCCUUAUUUCUUGGAUUUAUGUAAAUAAUAGAACUAGCUUUUAAUAAAACUUAAAAUUUUAGUGUUUAA